rnacentral:rRNA from 1 species
AUUGAACGCUGGCGGCAUGCCUUACACAUGCAAGUCGAACGGCAGCACGGGGCAACCUGGUGGCGAGUGGCGAACGGGUGAGUAAUGCAUCGGAACGUACCUUUCAGUGGGGGAUAACGUAGCGAAAGUUACGCUAAUACCGCAUAUUCUGUGAGCAGGAAAGCAGGGGAUCGCAAGACCUUGCGCUGAUUGAGCGGCCGAUGUCAGAUUAGCUAGUUGGUGAGGUAAAGGCUCACCAAGGGGACGAUCUGUAGCGGGUCCGAGAGGAUGAUCCGCCACACUGGAACUGAGACACGGUCCAGACUCCUACGGGAGGCAGCAGUGGGGAAUUUUGGACAAUGGGGGCAACCCUGAUCCAGCCAUGCCGCGUGAGUGAAGAAGGCCUUCGGGUUGUAAAGCUCUUUCGGCCGGGAAGAAAUCGCACGGGCUAAUACCCUGUGUGGAUGACGGUACCGGAAUAAGAAGCACCGGCUAACUACGUGCCAGCCGCCGCAGUAAGAC